rnacentral:rRNA from 1 species
GCCUACGGGACGCAGCAGUGGGGAAUAUUGCACAAUGGGGGGAACCCUGAUGCAGCGACGCCGCGUGAAGGAAGAAGUAUUUCGGUAUGUAAACUUCUAUCAGCAGGGAAGAAAAAGGACGGUACCUGACUAAGAAGCCCAGGCUAACUACGUGCCAGCAGCCGCGGUAAUACGUAGGGGGCGAGCGUUAUCCGGAUUUACUGGGUGUAAAGGGAGCGUAGGUGGCAUGGUAAGCCAGAAGUGAAAACCCAGGGCUCAACUCUGUGGAUUGCUUUUGGAACUAUCAAGCUAGAGUGCUGGAGGGG